CAUCAUUAAAAGACAUUUUAAUUAGUAUUGUUUGGAUAUGUUAAAACAUGGGAUUUUCAUUUUAGAAUAGAAUUUGACUUAAUUAACGGAGUUUCUAAUCGAGCAUUUGAUACUAUUUUCAGCACUGAUCGAUAGGCAAAAUAGAGUCACUGUGGUUUUAGUGGAAUUCAAGCCUUGAUGGACAUAUCGUCUGUAUUUGCCCUGUCAUGCUAAUGGUAGAUAGCUCUUAGUACCGUGUGCACAAAACAGAAAAUCCUCGAUGGCCGGACAGACGAAUGCUUCAUUCAGGUUUAAAAAGGCAAGAAGACAGUGUUUGACAUUAUUGAAAGACAGAGAAAAAGAAUCGGUUGCAGAAAUCAAAUAUAAUCGUACCGUCCAGUAUUUGUAGUUUUCCGGCAGUUGAAAGUCAGAUGCCUGCCAGAUUGAUUUCAAGCAUACAAGUGAGAUAUAUUUGCAGGAGUAAGAACCGAGCAUGAUGAAUCCACAAUAGACCUUGCACAAGCACGUCCACCCAACAACAAAGAUUUAUUUUACAUUUUCUUUACACAUAAUUACGAUUUGUAUUGUUAUUUGUAUAUCUUGUAUCUCAUAUUUAUAUGAUGUUUAAGUAUCCCUUAUUCCCGCUCUUCUACCCCAACCCCACACAAUUCCAUCCUUUAGUAGAUUUUUAGCUCGGCUAUUCGAAGAAUAAGUAGAGCUAUCCUACUCACCUCGGCGUCGGUGUCGGCGUCGUCGUCACACCUUGGUUAAGGUUUUCCUAGCAGCCCACAUUUUGAGAUAAAGCUUUAAGCACUUAUGUGUCAUCAUCAUACCCAGUUUUAGUUAAGAGUACAUAACUCUAUGAAGGAUUUUGUCUGAAUUAUGGCCCCUUUUAACUUACAAAUCUUGGUGGAGUUUUUCAUACCAGUUUAUAUUUUAUGGAAACUGUUUGACACGGGGCUUUGAAACUUUCAUUACUUGUCAUUAUAGUCUCUAUCUGUCUGUCAACUAUUUUGGCUGAAUUAUGGCCCUUUUUGGACUUGGAAAUUGAUUCAGUUUUUGUACAAGUCCAUGUUUUGUCAAAACUAUUUGACAUGUUGCUUUGAAACUUUGACACUUGUUUAUCAUCAUGAUCUCCAUCUGUAGGCAAGAGUACAUAACUCUGUCGAGUAUUUAAGCUGCAUUAUGGCCUUUUAAGGACUUGGAAUUCAGUCCAGUUUUCAUACAAGUCCACGUUUUGUCUAAAGUGUAUGAAACUUUGAACACUUGUUUAUCAUCAUGAUCUCCAUCUGUAGGCAAGAGUACAUAACUCUGUCAACUAUUUUGACUGAAUUGUGGCCCUUUUUGGACUUGUUAAAUUUAUUGUACUAAUUCAUAUUAUGUCUACCCUGUUUGUCAUAUGGCUUUGAAACUUUGACCACUUGUUUACCGUCAAAGUCUAUCAUACUAUGUAGGCAAAACUACAUAACUAGGACUUUGUCUCAGUUAUGGCCGUUUUUGACAUCGAAAUUAGUUUUGCAUAUCAUUCCGUAUUUUGUCUAAACUAUUUGAUAUGUGGCUUUGAAACUUUGAACACUUGUGUACAAUCAUGGUCACACAUUGUCAUAUAAUGCAAGACGUUCAGUUCCGCAAAUACAGGUACAUUGUUUGUCUUAUCUAUUUUUUUCAGUUCUUCGAAAAGUCGAGCGCACUGUCAACAGACAGCUUUUGUUUAUUUCUCUCAAACUGAGUCUCACCUCCAUCUCCACUUCUACAGCAUCACCCCUUCCCACACCCUCCCCGCUUUAUAUAUAUAUAUAUAUAUAUAUAUAUAUCGUCUUAUUUUUACAUCUUUCAAAACUUGCAUCUCAUGUGGAAUCUUUGCAUAGGCCUUAUAUACCUUCCCCCACCCCACACAUACUGCUAUCCCAAGCCACUUCCGGAAUUUUUUUCUUACCUUAUAUUGUUUCCCUAUCUCCCCGCACCAACACCCCUCCCCCCAUGUAUUUUGGUAUACAUUUUCGAAUUGUCGAGCAGGCACAACUACGAUCACUAGGUCCAAGGUCAAGGUUACUCUGUCAAAAGUCACGAUGACAACAUUUUACUUUCCUUUUAUUAAAGCGGCGCUAGGGAGUAUUAAAUGCCUUCAGUGACAGCCCUAGUUGAUGCCUAAAUGUGUAACAGUUGCUUGUUUGAUAUGACAUGUUUUCGCUAAAGUUUAGGAUAAAUAUCUGUAUUUAAAUUGAGAAAAUUACUUUUUCGGAACACUGAUACAGUCGCACCCUUUUAAGACGCAUCGACUUAUUUCAGCUUGAUUUGUUAUUCGUCAUGGAAUUACAUGCAUCUUUAUUGUUUUUCUGGUUUAUUUUAAAAAAAAUAUAUAUUUUUAUGAACGCAAAAUGCACAUUUGACUCGGAUAUACAUAUAGCUCUAUAUUAAACAAACAAGGACAGCUAAUAUUUGUAAGAAGCCACAUAGAAUUCUGAUUUUGUGGCGUCUCAAAAUUUACUCCUUUAUUAUAAUUACUUUUAAACUGGACAGGGGUAGUUUUUAAAGAUAGAUAUGCGUGGAUCAGUUUAGGUACAAAAAGCCAUUUUCACAAAUAAUAAAUUUUGUGAAUGGAGUUUGUUCCAGUGUAAGAUCGAAAUAUCGAACCAUUCUAGGUGCAGAUGGCAAAAAUAUGAACUCUUGUGUUCACGCGAGAAAAAUAAGAUCUUGGAUAUAAACCAAACAAAUUUUAUUUUAUGCAUUUAAAUGUUUGUGUACUAAGUUGUAUAAAUCAUAUCAAUUGUAAGGUAACGCGCAAUGCGCAACGUUGCGCUUACUAUGGCAAUAUAAUUAAUAUGUUGGAUAGAGUAAUAUAAUUCUACGAGAUUGAUUUCUUUUACAGUUUAAUACAUUUAUUUUCUAAUGUUUGUUUGUCUUUUUUGUUUGUUUUUCAUUAAAAUCUAUCCGAUAUUCUCUCGCGUUAAAUUGAUGUUGCGUGCAAGUGAAAAUUGAAUUUGGAUUUCCCACUUCUGAUACACUGGGUUUAUCAGGGUGUAAUAUAUCGUUAUGUUUCAGUAAUACCCUGAGAGCUUUACAUGAAAUUCCAUACUCUAGUUAAACAAAAUGUACAGAAAAAUCAUAGCUGUUUUAUUCAAACACAAUCUACCGUCUCUCUUAAGUGUAGCUUUAUAAAGUCGUUUUGGCCUCAUUUUUUGUUCACUGAAUUUUAUACUGUUUGGUUUAACUCUUAACCGAUGACUCACUCCGAGCACUAACCUUAAUCCCUGGGGCUGAAAUGACUUUUAAAGCAACUUUCUCUUUUAUAGGUACAAUGUUUAAACUUUAGACUGGUAUGUCCUUAGAAAUGAUGGGUGAAAAUAUGCGCUGAUAAAAAGUUUAGUAGAAUUGUGGGCAAACAUUUAGUUUUUUAGUAUGCGGUUUUGUAUGAUUACUGGAAUGUAACGUUAGACAAUAACAUGAUAAAUUCAUUGUUUCAAUUGGAGAGAAGUCCAAAUAAGGUUCUCACUUGUACGGAACUACACUUGAUAAAAUAUGAAUUGUGAGGAAUGGAAAUGUGCUCCAAAAAGACAAAGGUGUAUAGUAAUGCUUACAAAAACACUUAAGAGCACGCCAAAUCAUUAGAAUGUAAAAGAAACAUAUCUCGUAGAACUAUAUAACUUUUUCUAACAUUAUUAUUGUGACGUCAUGAAAUAUAGCGUCACGUUACGCAUAGCGGAUGUCCCUGCGCUGUUUAAUAAGAUAAGAUAAGAUAAGAUAAGAUUAAUGACAAGUUUAUUUCAACUUGACAAGACAUAAAACAAUACGACAUAAGCUCUGAAUGAGCUUUUCCAUCCACUAAUGUAAGAGUUAAAAAGAACGUGUAAUGGAGAAUAAUUUUUCAUCCGGGAACACAAGAUUUAAGUGAAAGAUGUUUCGAUCUUAUACUGAAACAAACAAAUGCUCCCUUUCUAUAUCUUUUUACAGCAGUAGAAGGUAAUAAGCAUCAAUACUUUGAGGAAAAACGGCUAAAGAAAUAAGACAGAAUUGACUAAAAGAAUCCCUUAUUAUUUUGAAAUGAUUGUCAAAAUUUCAAUAUCAGUAUAAGUGUUGUUAGAUAUUUUUCUUGUUCCAUAAUCCGAAGAAGAAUGCCUUUUCACUUGUGAACAUUUACUGUUUUGAAAUGACAGUGAAUUUUUUCGUUAUCAGUAUCGCUGUUGUUUUAAUCCCGAUAUGAAUACAUUUUCACAUUUGAAACUUUGCUGUUUAUACCCCCACCAAACAUGUUUGAGGGGGGUAUAUAGGAGGCAGUUUUGUCGCGUCCCGUCCCGUCCCGUCCCGUCGCGUCCCGAAAUCUAUUA
rnacentral:lncRNA from 1 species